CUCUGAUUUCCUUCAGGAACAGGGUGACCCACUUAGUGGCUGAUGGGGAUAUUGUCCACCAGGAACUCAGUAAAUUUAUUUCAUUAUUUCAUUAUUUUCCACAGAUUUUUCCUGUUCACUGCCCUAUGCACAACUUUACCAUAGCUUUUUGUUUUGGGAGAUGAUGCCAUGCUUCUAGUCCUGGGAAAUUUGACUGACCUGAUCUUCUACCAGCUAUCAUGGAUAAAAAACUCCAAACAAACCAACCAACAAACAAACAAAUCCCACAAAAUGCCCCGUAGAGAUAUAGACUGAAUUUCAGAUUUUUUUCCUAUAUAAACCUGUUUGCUUCCUUCACCUUAAAUCCUGGAGCAUCUUUCCAAAACAGUUUUGUGAACCCAUAUGUUCUGAUAAAGACUGUCACACCAGCUCCACUGCCUUAUCAGACACCAGAUUCUACACUGGAAGUGUGAAUGCCCCACUGAAAAGAAAAAAAACUGACAGAUUGGGAAGAUUUAGAAAUAAAACAAGAAGACACAAGAAGGUUUAUUUCUUUUGGAUUCUGUAGAGGGAGCUUGCCAAGGAACUAAGCACAGAUCUACCCUGGAUUCUGCCAGCACAGCUAUUUCAGUCAGGAGUGUGAAGGCAAAGCUGUGGUGACAGAAGAGCAAGCAAGACACUUGUUCUGGCACUGAGGCCCCUGGCAUCUUGUGUGAGCACACAUGGAGGAUAACAAAUGCUCAGGAAGCACCAAGCUCACACAGAGCUCAGUCAGAGUGAGAAAAGCCCUUUUUGCAGAGGGAGGUGGGUGCUGGUGAAUUAGCAGGACCCUGUGGUGCAUCCCCACGAGUCUGUGGGGUAAAAUCACAGAGCUCACAGAGCUCACAGAG
rnacentral:lncRNA from 1 species